UCCUGGCUCAGGAUGAACGCUGGCGGCGUGCUUAACACAUGCAAGUCGAACGAUUAAGACGGCUUCGGCCGUGUAUAGAGUGGCGAACGGGUGAGUAACACGUGACCAACCUGCCCCGCGCUCCGGGACAACCGCUGGAAACGGCGGCUAAUACCGGAUGCUCCGGGGAGGCCCCAUGGCCUCCCCGGGAAAGCCCUGACGGCGCGGGAUGGGGUCGCGGCCCAUUAGGUAGACGGCGGGGUAACGGCCCACCGUGCCCGCGAUGGGUAGCCGGACUGAGAGGUCGACCGGCCACAUUGGGACUGAGAUACGGCCCAGACUCCUACGGGAGGCAGCAGUGGGGAAUUUUGCGCAAUGGGGGAAACCCUGACGCAGCAACGCCGCGUGCGGGACGAAGGCCUUCGGGUUGUAAACCGCUUUCAGCAGGGAAGACAUAGACGGUACCUGCAGAAGAAGCUCCGGCUAACUACGUGCCAGCAGCCGCGGUAAUACGUAGGGGGCGAGCGUUAUCCGGAUUCAUUGGGCGUAAAGCGCGCGUAGGCGGCCGCCUAAGCGGAACCUCUAAUCCCGGGGCUCAACCUCGGGCCGGGUUCCGGACUGGGCGGCUCGAGUGCGGUAGAGGCAGGCGGAAUUCCCGGUGUAGCGGUGGAAUGCGCAGAUAUCGGGAAGAACACCGAUGGCGAAGGCAGCCUGCUGGGCCGCCACUGACGCUGAGGCGCGAAAGCUGGGGGAGCGAACAGGAUUAGAUACCCUGGUAGUCCCAGCCGUAAACGAUGGACGCUAGGUGUGGGGGGACCAUCCCCCCGUGCCGCAGCCAACGCAUUAAGCGUCCCGCCUGGGGAGUACGGCCGCAAGGCUAAAACUCAAAGGAAUUGACGGGGGCCC
rnacentral:rRNA from 1 species